UCAAAUAUUUAUUUUGUGUUUUGUUUGGUUCUUGGAUUUGUAAAAGGAAAGAAAAAGAACAUGGAGAAGAUACGAAAAUUAAAAUAAAGUGAGCGAUCUAAACAUAUCUGAAGACGAAGUGCUAGUCAUAUUUGUUUCCAUCAUAUUUGUUAUAUAUUAAUCUUUGUCUGGCCAGUAAAUGUGCCAUGAGAAUGAUGCACUUCAGUAGUAGUGUUUAGGAGAUUGCUAAAUCCACAACCGUUAUGGCUGCAUCCAGAUUCCACAGCCUCCUUUCUCAUGUCGGGUCCACCUAUGUGAGAGGGAACAAUGUGGGUAAAGCCUAAAAGUUAUGAUUUUAGCAGUGGCAUUGUUUUGUAUUUUAUCUGUUUAGUGGCACCACAGCAGCUAUCAUCUACUCAGCCACCAUGCCUACCAUUGGUGCGCCCACCAUCAGUGGCACUACCAUUAGAGGAGGCAUCACAGCGAGCACCAUCAGAGGGGCCAUUAGUGCCACCGCAUUGACCCCCAUCAGUGGCACCACACCAGCUGUCAGCUACUCAGCCUCUAGGCCUACCAUCGGUGCGUCCACCAUCAGUGGCACCGCAGCAGCUAUCAUCCCGACUAGAGUCAUCGGCUUAUGAGCCAUCCGCAGAUAUUUCCUGAGUAGCAGUUUGUUUCUUGUGGAAUGCAGCCGUGUGAAGAUUGCGACAAACUUUUGUUUAUGAAGAAAACUUUUAUUUUUGAUUUACGUUAUUUAGAUUUGUAAACAACAUUAUAUAUGUAUUAUGCAAAAUUAUGUGGUUAGAUAA